GACAGAGGGUGCAAACGUUGUUCGGAAUUACUGGGCGUAAAGCGCGUGUAGGCGGCCCCGCAAGUCGGGUGUGAAAUCCCAUGGCUCAACCAUGGAAGUGCACUCGAAACUGCAGGGCUGGAGUCCUGGAGAGGAAGGUGGAAUCCUUGGUGUAGAGGUGAAAUUCGUAGAUAUCAAGCGGAACACCGGUGGCGAAGGCGGCCUUCUGGACAGUGACUGACGCUGAGACGCGAAAGCGUGGGGAGCAAACAGG
rnacentral:rRNA from 1 species